GACGAACGCUGGCGGCAUGCUUAACACAUGCAAGUCGAACGGAAAGGCCCUGCUUUUGUGGGGUGCUCGAGUGGCGAACGGGUGAGUAACACGUGAGUAACCUGCCCUUGACUUUGGGAUAACUUCAGGAAACUGGGGCUAAUACCGGAUAGGAGCUCCUGCUGCAUGGUGGGGGUUGGAAAGUUUCGGCGGUUGGGGAUGGACUCGCGGCUUAUCAGCUUGUUGGUGGGGUAGUGGCUUACCAAGGCUUUGACGGGUAGCCGGCCUGGGAGGGUGACCGGCCACAUUGGGACUGAGAUACGGCCCAGACUCCUACGGGAGGCAGCAGUGGGGAAUAUUGCACAAUGGGCGGAAGCCUGAUGCAGCAGCGCCGCGUGCGGGAUGACGGCCUUCGGGUUGUAAACCGCUUUCGCCUGUGACGAAGCGUGAGUGACGGUAAUGGGUAAAGAAGCACCGGCUAACUACGUG
rnacentral:rRNA from 1 species